rnacentral:rRNA from 1 species
UACGAAGGGUGCAAGCGUUACUCGGAAUUACUGGGCGUAAAGCGUGCGUAGGCGGUUUGUUAAGUCAGUGGUGAAAGCCUCCAGCUUAACUGGAGAACAGCCAUUGAUACUGAAGAGCUUGAGUACAGACGAGGUAGGCGGAAUUUAUGGUGUAGCGGUGAAAUGCAUAGAUACCAUAAAGAACUCCUAUUGCGAAGGCAGCUUACUAGGCUGUAACUGACGCUGAGGCACGAAAGCGUGGGGAUCAAACAGG